UCCGUAGGUGGAUUAAUAAGUCAGAGGUGAAAUCCUGCAGCUCAACUGUAGAAUUGCCUUUGAUACUGUUAAUCUUGAGUCAUUAUGAAGUGGUUAGAAUGUGUAGUGUAGCGGUGAAAUGCAUAGAUAUUACACAGAAUACCGAUUGCGAAGGCAGAUCACUAAUAAUGUACUGACACUGAGGGACGAAAGCGUGGGGAGCGAACAGGAUUAGAUACCCUGGUAGUCC
rnacentral:rRNA from 1 species